GUGUCAGCAGCCGCGGUAAUACGUAGGGGGCGAGCGUUGUCCGGAUUGACUGGGCGUAAAGGGCGCGUAGGCGGCUUUUUAAGUCUGGAGUGAAAGUCCUGCUCUUAAGGGGGGAAUUGCUUUGGAAACUGGAGAGCUUGAGUGCGGAAGAGGUAAGUGGAAUUCCCAGUGUAGCGGUGAAAUGCGUAGAGAUUGGGAGGAACGCCAGUGGCGAAUGCGACUUACUGGGCCGUAACUGACGCUGAGGCGCGAAAGCGUGGGGAGCGAACAGGAAUAGAUACCCUGGUAGUCCACGCGGUAUACGAUGAAUGCUAGGUUUAGGGG
rnacentral:rRNA from 1 species